rnacentral:rRNA from 1 species
AAUAGAUACCCAGGUAGUCCACGCCGUAAACGAUGAGUGCUAAGUGUUAGAGGGUUUCCGCCCUUUAGUGCUGCAGCAAACGCAUUAAGCACUCCGCCUGGGGAGUACGGCCGCAAGGCUGAAACUCAAAGGAAUUGACGGGGGCCCGCACAAGCGGUGGAGCAUGUGGUUUAAUUCGAAGCAACGCGAAGAACCUUACCAGGUCUUGACAUCUCCUGACAAUCCUAGAGAUAGGACGUUCCCCUUCGGGGGACAGGAUGACAGGUGGUGCAUGGUUGUCGUCAGCUCGUGUCGUGAGAUGUUGGGUUAAGUCCCGCAACGAGCGCAACCCUUGAUCUUAGUUGCCAGCAUUUAGUUGGGCACUCUAAGGUGACUGCCGGUGACAAACCGGAGGAAGGUGGGGAUGACGUCAAAUCAUCAUGCCCCUUAUGACCUGGGCUACACACGUGCUACAAUGGAUGGUACAAAGGGCAGCAAAGCGGUGACGCCUAGCAAAUCCCAUAAAACCCAUUCUCAGUUCGGAUUGUAGG